CCCCUAGUAACUGCGAGUGAAGCGGGAAAAGCUCAAAUUUAAAAUCUGGCGGUCUUUGGCCGUCCGAGUUGUAGUCUGGAGAAGUGCUUUCCGCGCUGGACCGUGUAUAAGUCUCUUGGAACAGAGCGUCAUAGAGGGUGAGAAUCCCGUCUUUGACACGGACUACCAGUGCUUUGUGAUGCGCUCUCAAAGAGUCGAGUUGUUUGGGAAUGCAGCUCAAAAUGGGUGGUGAAUUCCAUCUAAAGCUAAAUAUUGGCGAGAGACCGAUAGCGAACAAGUACCGUGAGGGAAAGAUGAAAAGCACUUUGGAAAGAGAGUUAAACAGUACGUGAAAUUGCUGAAAGGGAAACGCUUGAAGUCAGUCGCGUCGUCCGGAACUCAGCCUUGCUUUUGCUCGGUGCACUUUCCGGAUGACGGGUCAGCAUCGAUUUUGACCGUCGGAAAAGGGCUGGAGUAAUGUGGCACCUCCGGGUGUGUUAUAGACUCUGGUCGCAUACGGCGGUUGGGAUCGAGGAACGCAGCGCGCCGCAAGGCAGGGGUUCGCCCACUUUCGCGCUUAGGAUGCUGGCAUAAUGGCUUUAAACGACCCGUCUUGAAACACGGACCAAGGAGUCUAACAUACCUGCGAGUGUUUGGGUGGAAAACCCGAGCGCGUAAUGAAAGUGAAAGUUGAGACCCCUGUCGUGGGGGGCAUCGACGCCCGGACCUGACGUUCUCUGACGGAUCCGCGGUAGAGCAUGUAUGUUGGGACCCGAAAGAUGGUGAACUAUGCCUGAAUAGGGUGAAGCCAGAGGAAACUCUGGUGGAGGCUCGUAGCGAUUCUGACGUGCAAAUCGAUCGUCAAAUUUGGGUAUAGGGGCGAAAGACUAAUCGAAC
rnacentral:rRNA from 1 species